UACGUAGGGGGGCAAGCGUUUGUCCAGGAUUUAUUGGGCGUAAAAGAGCGUGUAGGCGGUUUGGUAGGUCCGCUGUGAAAACUCGAGGCUCAACCUCGAGACGCCGGUGGAAACCAUCAGACUAGAGUCCGGAAGAGGAGAGUGGAAUUCCUGGUGUAGCGGUGAAAUGCGCAGAUAUCAGGAAGAACACCCGUGGCUAAGGCGGCUCUCUAGUACGGUACUGACGCUGAGACGCGAAAGCGUGGGGAGCGAACAGG
rnacentral:rRNA from 1 species